CAGGGAGACAACAAAAUGUUUAAUAUUAUUAUUUUGUCACCUUAGGUCGAUCGGUAUCUCACGUUUUUAAUUUAUUAAGAAUUUCAUUUCCUAAGUUUUUCUAGGUCACACCCAUUAUUUUUCCUGGGCCAUUAGCUCAGGUGGUUAGAGCGCACCCCUGAUAAGGGUGAGGUCCCUGGUUCAAGUCCAGGAUGGCCCAUAUCUCUAUGUUGGGGGUAUAGCUCAGUUGGUAGAGCGCCUGCUUUGCAAGCAGGAUGUCAGCGGUUCGAGUCCGCUUACCUCCACUGAUUACCACCUCUUCCAUAACUGGUAGAAAGGAAAUGUAUUGAGUUGUGAUCAAAUUCUGAAAGAAUCUAGCUUCCUAAUGAAAACAUUAAGAUGCUGGACUCAUUGAAUUAAUUUCAUUGUUUUCAGAGAACCUUGACAACUGCAUAGAUUAUUUUUAAAGACAAUUAGCAUCUUUAAUGAUGCAGAUUUAUUAUUUGUGCGAAUGCAUUAAUAACAAUUCUAUUAAGCUGAUGCUUCAAUUUUGAAGUUAUU
rnacentral:tRNA from 1 species